ACGGAAGGCAGCAGUGGGGAAUAUUGCACAAUGGGGGAAACCCUGAUGCAGCGACGCCGCGUGAAGGAAGAAGUAUCUCGGUAUGUAAACUUCUAUCAGCAGGGAAGAAAAUGACGGUACCUGACUAAGAAGCCCCGGCUAACUACGUGCCAGCAGCCGCGGUAAUACGUAGGGGGCAAGCGUUAUCCGGAUUUACUGGGUGUAAAGGGAGCGUAGACGGCAUCGUAAGUCUGAUGUGAAAGGCAGGGGCUCAACUCCUGGACUGCAUUGGAAACUACGAAGCUUGAGUGCCGGAGGGGUAAGCGGAAUUCCUAGUGUAGCGGUGAAAUGCGUAGAUAUUAGGAGGAACACCAGUGGCGAAGGCGGCUUACUGGACUGUAACUGACGUUGAGGCUCGAAAGCGUGGGGAGCAAACAGGAUUAGAUACCCUGGUA
rnacentral:rRNA from 2 species